GCGCCUGUAGCUAAAUGGAUUAGCCAGAGCCUUCUAAGCUCUAAUAUGCGGGUUCGAUUCCUGCCGGGCGCACCA
rnacentral:tRNA from 1 species